AUGAACGCUGGCGGCGUGCCUAACACAUGCAAGUCGAACGGGACUGUGGGGGCAACUCUGCAGUCUAGUGGCGGACGGGUGAGUAACACGUGGGUAACCUGCCCGGAAGUGGGGAAUACCUCGGGGAAACUCGAGCUAAUACCGCAUGACAUCUUCGGGACGAAAGUCCUGACGAUCAAAGCGGGGUCGCAAGAUCUCGCGCUACCGGAUGGGCCCGCGCCCGAUUAGCUAGUUGGUGGGGUAACGGCUCACCAAGGCGACGAUCGGUAACCGGCCUGAGAGGGCGAUCGGUCACACCGGAACUGAGACACGGUCCGGACUCCUACGGGAGGCAGCAGUGGGGAAUCUUGCGCAAUGGGCGAAAGCCUGACGCAGCAACGCCGCGUGGAGGAUGAAGGCCCUUGGGUUGUAAACUCCUGUCGGCUGGGAAGAAAUCGUUCGGGGCUAAUACCUCCGGACGUUGACUGUACCAGCAAAGGAAGCCCCGGCUAACUCUGUGCCAGCAGCCGCGGUAAUACAGAGGGGGCCAGCGUUAUUCGGAAUUAUUGGGCGUAAAGGGCGCGUAGGCGGCCAUGCGUGUCUCCCGUGAAAUCCCUCGGCUUAACUGAGGACGUGCGGGAGAAACUGCAAGGCUCGAGUCCGGGAGAGGGGGGUGGAAUUCCCAGUGUAGCGGUGAAAUGCGUAGAUAUUGGGAGGAACACCGGUGGCGAAGGCGGCCCCCUGGACCGGUACUGACGCUGAGGCGCGAAAGCGUGGGUAGCAAACGGGAUUAGAUACCCCGGUAGUCCACGCCGUAAACGAUGGGCACUUGGUGUCGCGGGUAUCGACCCCUGCGGUGCCGAAGCUAACGCAUUAAGUGCCCC
rnacentral:rRNA from 1 species